rnacentral:lncRNA from 1 species
GUUCAUAGUCCUAUUAAGUUGUGACAGCUGCAAUGCUCCAAAGAUUUACUGGCUUUAAUUUUAUAAAAUUCCCUUAGAACCAGAUUCAGAAGAGAGUUGACACAGCUCAGGGCAGGACCUAGGUCGAUCACAUCUUGGGAUUCAGACAAAUCCACUGUAUCUGAAGGGUGAUUUCAUGGUCUUGAGGACUCAGGAGGUGACUGGGAUAAGGGGGAUUCUCUUGGGCUUAUGGCCUUCUCUAAAAUCUCAUGGCCCUCUUUUCUCCUCAGACAACAAUUCAGGCUCAGAUCUUUUCCCUGGCAUUUUUUUCCCUACCUGGGAUCCUCUAUGCCAACCUAGGGGACCUUCUUUCCCCAGUCCUCAUCAUCCCAGUGAUUCAGCUCUGCAGAUGGUGAGCAGAGCACUGAGGCAGGCCUUAAGGAUGCUAAAUGAUCUGGAAAGUAGUGGGAAGACUAUGAAGCCAGAUGAAAACCAUGGUAGAUGUUCAAGGGGCAUUUAGUUCAACGUCAUCAUACCCCGGGUCACCUUCUUCCCUCUGGAGCAGCCAGGGACUAUCUUCUUUCCCAGGACCAGCUACCUCUUCAGAGAACUGCAGAGAAGAGCCUGAAACAGUAAAGAGAAGUUUGACUGGAACUGUGACAAAGUGAUAGGACAGUGCCCCACGGUGGAAGCAAGUUAAGUAAGUGGUGAUGACAAAGCAUCCCUGGAGACCCAGUAAUGCUCAAGGAAGCUCAGACAAUUUAAUAUUAGUUAUAGCGAAAAUAUAUCAAGGUUAUCCUAUCAGAAUCCAGUCCAUAUGGGUUUCUGGGGCCUCAGCUUAUCUGGGAAAUGCUGUUAUCACAGAUCUACGGCCAACACAGGGGCUCUCUGAAGACAUGUUUCUCAGCAAAUGGAUGGCCCAAGAAUGGUGAAAAUCAUAAGAAGGGACAUGAAAAUUUCUCCUCUCACAAUGUACAGGUCUGAAUUCAGAAGGAAAAGGAUAGGAGACCUAGGAGAAAUCUCAGGUCCUCACUGGAUGUUCCACUCUGCUCUUGUGUCCCCAGAUGCCCAUAGAAACAAUCACAGGAUCCUUCCUUCCAUAAAUGCCACCUCUCCAGGAAUCACAUGGGCCUUCAGAUGGAGAAAUACUCUUCUCUGGAGAAUGAAUGUCUUCAUUUGACCAUUGAAAUGUCUGGAGCAGAUUGGCUCCAGUUAUCCACAGACAACUGCCCACAAAUCCAGUCUCUAUACUCCACCACCAUGGCUUUAAUAUUCAAGGCCACCAUAUAUCAUAGACUUUGUACAUAUUAGGGCUAACAUAUGAUUACAGAGCAUCUCAAAUGAUCAAAAUGUCUCACAAAUUCCAGUAUUCCAAUAUUUCUUAAAUCUCUAAAUGCCUUUCACAUAUGAGACAGUGCAACAAUGUUAUUAGAACAGUUGCUCUAUUUUUGGAUUUGAUAAGUUAAUCUAUAAGUCUUAAUGCAAGCACAUGAAAGUCGAAGUUAUGGAGACUCGGAUAC